GAGAAGGAUGCACACAGCUAGCUCCUGAGGAGGGACAGCCAAUGCUCCAGGAUCCAGUCUAUCCAGCAUGCACCCUGUGUCCCAGAUGGAGGACCUGAGAGAGGGGAACAGACUGGAGGACCCCCCCCCCCCAACCCCAGAGUGGAGAUUAUGGUGUUGAGGUUCCUACUUACCUUUGAGGAUGUAAAAUAUUGGAGGGGGCCUUCAUUUCACUAUGCUAUUCCUGGAAGUACUACUUUUAGAAGGCGAUGAAAUAUAGUAUGGAACAGAAUCAGUGAACUGGCACUUUUGAGGCCAUUACUUCAACAGCAACAAAGAAUGGUGGAUGGCUCAAAGAAUGAUAGACCUCCAUUCUAUUUAAUCCCUCCUCUUUUUUCACCCCCCCCAUACUAGUCCCCUCCUCUCCCUAUUCAGGUAUGUCGUCUUAUUACUGUUACCCCUUCCCCCAUGUUAUAUCUAUGUAGUAUUGUCAAAGCUGCAGGAGAAGACAAGUUGUAUAGUUGCAUAAUUCCAUUGUAGAGCCUGUGAAGCAUGAAGUAUUUGGAAACAUAUAUAAGCUGUAAGUCAUUUGCCUUUUUGCACUUUUCCUUGUCUGUUUCUUCAUGAAAACCAAUAAAAAAUUAAUCACAAAA